rnacentral:rRNA from 1 species
GAUGAACGCUAGCUACAGGCUUAACACAUGCAAGUCGAGGGGAAACGGCAUCGAAAGCUUGCUUUUGAUGGGCGUCGACCGGCGCACGGGUGAGUAACGCGUAUCCAACCUGCCCAUCACUUGGGAAUAACCUUGCGAAAGUAAGACUAAUGCACAAUGACAUCCCACGAAGGCAUCCGAAUGGGAUUAAAGAUUUAUCGGUGAUGGAUGGGGAUGCGUCUGAUUAGCUUGUUGGCAGGGUGACGGCCCACCAAGGCAACGAUCAGUAGGUGUUCUGAGAGGAAGGUCCCCCACAUUGGAACUGAGACACAGUCCAAACUCGUACGGGAGGCAGCAGUAAGGAAUAUUGGUCAAGGGGCGAGAGCCUGAACCAGCCAAGUAGCGUGCAGGAUGACGGCCAUAUGGGUUGUAAACUGCUUUUAUAAGGGAAUAAAGUGGGUCACGUGUGACUUUUUGCAUGUACCUUAUGAAUAAGGACCGGCUAAUUCCGUG